GGUUUGAUGUAGAAGUUUCUCCAGUCUUUGACGUGUUUGAUGAAGACGAUGACUUCUUUGAAGAACAUAGUGUUUUUCCAUUCCAUGACAUGUGCAACAACAACAUAGACCUAGUCAAAGCUGAAGGAAUUUCUUAUGCUAGAGUAGUUUACAACGAUGAUGCAAGUUAUGCUACGGACGAACAGAAAAAACAAAGGAUUAACCAGAGUUAAAGGGAUUGAUCAUGCAAAUUCUCUUGAUUUUU
rnacentral:lncRNA from 1 species